rnacentral:ncRNA from 1 species
UGAGAUAGAGGAUGCAUCGGGCCAAGAGUAACGUAUUUAAUGUGUUGCAGCACAGAAUGCGUGAAAGGGGCAGAUGCCGAGGUGGUAUCAGACUGCAGGCUGGUAUUGCUGGGCGGAUGAAAUAAGAUUCAUUCGACUGUCGCAUUUUUUACGAUUUGCGGAGCGCUAUCC